rnacentral:lncRNA from 1 species
UGCAAUGGAGGAGCACUACAAUUACAACUGAAGUUCCCAUCCUCGACUCUGUGAUUGUUGAACUUUUUUCUAAUGAGUCUUCCUCAUAAUUCUAGUUCCGAUUCAAAUGGCUUACUGUCCUUGAAAAUAGAGAUUAUCAACCUAAUAUGUUGCAUUCUUGUUGAAAAAUAGAAAAAAUAGAAGAGAAGGUGAAGACGAGGAUUCAGAGGAAGAAGGAAUACUUGACCAAAAGGGCCC